CGCGUAGGCGGCUCGCCAAGUCUGGGGUGAAAUCUUUCGGCUCAACCGGAAAAUUGCCUGGGAUACUGGCGGGCUCGAGCGAGAUAGGGGUCACGGGAACUUCCAGUGGAGCGGUGAAAUGCGUUGAUAUUGGAAGGAACGCCGGUGGCGAAAGCGCGUGACUGGAUCUCUUCUGACGCUGAGGCGCGAAAGCUAGGGAGCAAACG
rnacentral:rRNA from 1 species